UUCCGUUAAAAAAUGGAUUAUCUUGAUAAGAGAUAAAAUAAUUUAAAAAAUAUUUUUUAAAAAUUGAUUUAAUUUUUAAAAUUGAUUUUACACUAUUAUUUGUCCCCCUUCACAGAAUAUACAGAUACAACUUUUGUUAAAAAAUUUUUUUUCUAAAACGCAUUAUUUUCUUUAUAGAAAUUUAAGCAUGUUUUUUUGACGGGACACGCUGUAUAACACUAACAACUUUCACAAGUAUCUCAUAAUUUGUUCCUUUUAUGAUUUCUCUUCUCGUAAUAUAUGCAGAUUUUAUCUGUCAGUGACUCCUUUCAACGGCCCAAUUUGUAUAACUUAAGCCUUUAGCACACGAUACGAUUUUUCAUGCUGGAUCGCAUACGAGACAUCUUAUUACGUGCCCUGAUUGGCUCGAAUGAUUAUAUUACCAAUCGUAACCCAAUCGUACAAUAACAAGACGCCUCGUAUUUGUGUUAGCAUAAAAAAAUUGUAUCGUGUUGCCGAAAGCUUUACUCAGCUUUAAUUCGAUCGAGCGAAUUAUACAAAUCCAUCGCGCGCCACGCUCUUUUUCUUUCAUUGCCAUUCAGCGCCGAUUGAAUUUCUGUUCCUUAGAACCGGGGUAUGCACCAGCUGCGCUCUAAAGUAGUUCAAUGUUGUACACGAAAUGAUGAGUUGCUUUCUUCGUUUCACGCAAUCGGACUCUACUUUGUUCCUAAUGUCUACGUUCAUACUUUCAUUCGGAGUAUAAUCAGCGUCCACGAUCGAACCGCAGUUCUUCGCGGUGGCGAUCGAAGUUGCGCGAAUUUCCGAUUACUUUUCCGCGCCAGCCGUAAUUUCUCGAUUACUGCCACGGGGAAGGGAGAGGUACGGGAUAGACGCGCACCGUUACUAAAUUCGAAGUUUAGCGACGACGAACUUCCACCCGCACCGCAUAGUUGCAUGCAACCUCGAGGUAAUAUGGUAUAGCCCGCAGAGUAACGGGGCGGUCGGGACAAUUUCUUGAGAGACACUUUGACGAGUUAAUCCGCGGAAUGUCUGAGAGCACCCUCGCGGUGCAAUAAAUUCUCUAGCUGCGAGGAUUUAUCGAGACGCGGAAAGUAUGAACUCCCUCUCAUCGCACUCAUUCGCUCGCGCCCGGUACCGUCGAGAAUUUCCGCGGAGAUUAAGACAUUUUAGAGCGUCAUUAUCUCUAGUCCACGGAGUUGUGGACGCUUUCACGAGGCGUCCGAAUUUAAUUCUGAAGUUUACGUAUGGUAUCUUUCGAUUUGCAAAGAAGACGGAGAGAGAACUGUUAGAAAUCAGGCGUUUUCUUUUAUCAAUGCCGAUUUAUCCCUCGCGCGGUAUAAUAUUUAAUCCUUGAGUUCCUAAAAAAAUAUUAUACUUUAUGCAACCCCUGAUAGAAAUCUAAAAAUAUUUGAAGUGAUUAAAAGCUCGCAGAAAAAACGUAAAGCGUUUGUAGAUCAACAAAACAUCAUAAUAUUUGCACAUUUUUUGUAAAUGUUAAAAUAAAAACGCUCCACAAGCUUUCAACAUUUUUUGUAAUAAUGGUAUCGCAACCGAGACGAUAUGCGAUAUUAAAUUGAAAACAAACAUAAAACUCGAAUCAAAAUAUCAACACUCGAAUUGUUCGGGGAGAAGUAAUGAGUCAUUCAUUCGUCGUACAUAUCCUGGGGGGGAAUCCGAAACGGUCGCUGCGGUCCGGACCGUCGAAACUUCCGCGUCCGGCAGAAGUAGAGUGUUUCCGGUGGGCGAGGGGGAGACAAACUAAGUGAUUUCGUAUUGCUGCGUGCAACUCCCUCGGGUAGUUUUGACUAGCGAUCCUAGAGCGUGCGGAGUUAUGUGGCACCGUGUCUCAUGGUGCUUACGUAUAGAUCGAAUGAGUCGGCGCGCCGAGCAACAGUAGUGCGCGCUUGAUCGGAGGAUGAUCGGCCCGGGCGUCUUCCAUCACCGAUUCAAUACCGCGGGAAACUUCAUUCUACUCCAACGUACCAUUUAGCGGUUUACACCCGAGAGUUUACGACCUUAUUCUGCGUCUGCCAUCACCGAAAUCCAUGUAACGCAGCCCUUUCUCGUCCCUAUCGCCGCUCGACGCCAACAAGAUAGUGGCAGCGUUAUGGUAAACGUUAAGAUGCAAGAUAUUGGCACGGUUCAUAAAUAGAUUUACCGUCAUAAAGAUUAAUUGUGCCUAAUAUUCGCGACGGUAUAUGCGGGUCAGUUGUUUUAGGUGAGGCGAACGUCCGGAUAAUCCACGGAUCGCUCUGCUCAGUUCUGAAGUGGUCGAUUUAUUAUUAUGCAUGUCUAGUCAAGUGUAUAGCCGCAUAGCUAUACACAAUCAAGUUUCGAUAACGUAAAAAUUAUUAUUAACGGAAGAAUUUCAAUUUAGACAGAAUAGGAUGAAUUUAAAAGAUUGAUUGAAAAGCGUAUUUCAGUUAUGAAAAGAUAUUAAGAAGAACGGCAUACAAAGUCGUGAGUUAAUUCAUGAAAUAAUAAAAUGUGUACAUAACACUAUUGCAUUAACGGCAGGUAGGUUUAACAAUUCAAACCGGAGUAACGGACUUGAAAUAACAUUCAGAGUUUGUCUCGAUUUCACGUCGAUUCGUCGGGACACAGUGGUAGUUUCUUACUAACGCGAAGCCAAGCAAAAUAAAGAGCCCCGGAGUUUACUUUUCGUUCAAAUUACUCGGCGGAGCUUUACGCGCGCGCGCCGAACAAGUUUCGCGAAGAUAAACCCACGGAAAUUGUCCGGUAGUUUUUAAAAGUCAAGACGAACGAACUGUCAGAGACAACGAAGUUGACCUAAAUACACUCUUCAGGUUUUUAGAUUUCAUCAUGGCGCACCGCGGUCGAUCUCUUGUUUUCGAUUAAUAUUAACUUAGCGCUAAAUAAAGAUUUCCCACGAAGGGCGUCAACCAUGAAUAAUUCAUUCUAUUCUGCACCAUAUCGCCGAAAUAAUUACUCGUUUUAAACUCUCGUCGUUGCAUCGUUAUUAAACAAAUAACAAUAGCUUACAAAAUUCGGCUUAAAUUUUGUACUAACGUCACUUGCGAUGUUCAAUUUGCGACGCUUAAAUUGUAUCGUAAUUUAAUACCACGAUAAUCUAUAAAUUAAUAAUGUACAAAAAAUUUCAGGUGUGGCUAACCAUCGCUGCGCAACCUGCCGAUCAUACUGCUUAUUUUCCUAGAGGGAUAGAAAUAUGCUUAUUUUCCUAGAGAGGGAAAUCAAUUCCGCUUUAGAGCGCACUCGCUUCGCUCCGAACUUCGAGCCCUUAUCUGAUGCGGGCGAACCGCUCUUCAGGUAGAAACACUCGGACGUUCCCUUCAUAAAUCAAUUCAUAAACUUGGACGGUGCGUGCUACAUCGGUCGCUAAGUGGAAGAAAACGAACAUUUUAUAAAAGUGGAUUAUUCACAUCUCACCGAGGCAUUAAUUAUUUUUCCGCGGCAAAGAUAUUCGUUGAGGCUAAUUAAUAUUUACCGCGCAUCUGGAAGUUUUCGCUCCGCCGUGCGAUGUCCGCUCAAAAUUCGUUUCAAGCCACGCCUCUCGUAUGUCGCGUACCUUAUUAAUUCAUUAAUAAAACGAUAUUAUCCUGUAAAUGUAGAAAUAUAUGUAUAUAUAUAU
rnacentral:lncRNA from 1 species